GCUCUCACAGCGAGCGUCCUGGAGGCCACCUUGCUGUGUGUCCCCAGAGAGAUGUCACAGAAGGGGAACACGGCUUUCGAGCAUCAAAGCCUUCAGGGCAACAGUGUGAGGCAGCCUUGUCCCAGGGGCAGGUAGUGAGUCACCGCCAGGUGCUGCCUCCAGCUCACAGGGCUCACAGCUCAGCGGUGAUGGCAGCCCCAGCCAGCUGUGCCUUUCCGGGCAUAGGCAGCUUCCCAGGGCCCUGGGGUGCCCGAUCCCGUUUGUCCUGAUUCCUGGGAAGGGAGGUGUGCAGCCUGACUGGCUGCUUUCGGGAUCAGCCCAACAGUUUUCCAUCCUGCUGAGUUCUCUCCUUGGUGAGGAGUGAGCCCGGAUCCCUGCAGCACGUGCCACAUGAGGACCAUGACGUGUACCAUGAGCAUCACCCAGAUAAUGGCCAGCAUCCCGCUCAUCCUGCCGGUCACUGCCUACACGCCAUCCAACAGGCUGCACCCCACCACCACAGGCUUGCCUGGUGCUGUGGUGCCCGUGUUCACUGCAGCAUGGAUGCACGGUGCCGGCGCAACGCAGCAUUCGACAACACAGCCGAGCCUGCUGCCUACCGCCCCGACUGGAUGGCAGCGCUGCCUGACACCCUGCCGCUCUCCCGCAUCUCCAUCCCCGGCACACACGACUCGCUCAGCCUUUUUGGUGGCUGUCGCCUGCGUUGCCAGAGCUGGGGCUUGGAGGCCCAGCUGGAGGCUGGAGUGCGCUUCCUGGACGUGCGCUGCAAACUGGAGCGGGGCGAGUUGCGCAUCUAUCACCUGUGCACCUUCCAGCGGGUCAGCCUGCGGGGCGUCCUGCGUCGCACCCUGCGCUUCCUCCGAGCUCACCCUGGUGAGGCUGUGCUGAUGCGCAUCAAGGAGGAGAUGCCCAUCUUCCCGCGGCCCCGCUUCGCUGCGAGGCUCCAGCGCUGCCUGCUGGAAGAAAGCCGGGGUCGGCUGUGGUGUCGGGAGGAGGUGCCCACUCUGGGCCAGGUGCGGGGCAAGAUCGUGGUGCUGGAGGCGUUGGAGCAGGCAGUGCUGGGCAUCCCCUAUGAGCGGCUGAGCAUCAGCGACGCGUGGAAUGUGCUCUCGCUGGAGAGGAAAUGGGCACGAGCACAGAGGCACCUGGACACAGCAGCCAGUGGGGACCCUGCCACCAUGCACCUCACCUUCUGCUCCGGCAAUGGGCUCUUCACCUGCCCCGAGGAUGUGGCUCGCUUUGUCAACCCUCAGUGCUACCAACACCUGCAGUGCUGCUCGGGGCAGCCGGUGUGCUGGGGAGUGGUCAUUUUGGACUUCCCUGGGGCAGGCCUGCUCCAGCUCAUCAUUGAGAGCAACAACACUUCAGGGACAAACGGAAGUGUUCCAGAGGCCCCCAGCACCCCUCAGACAUCCCAGAGGCAGCGGAGACAAACACUGCGGGUGGCACCGCUGGGGCCAGUGUCCCCCGUGCUGCGGGCAGCCUCACGUGUCAGCCGACGGACAUCGAUGCGGAAGGGUGCCCGGAGAUCCUGCACGGCACUGAGACACCUCUAUGUGACAUCCGUGUGACAGCAGUGGGGCUGGCAGUCAGAGGUGAGCAGCCCUGAGCUCCCCCUGAGCGUGGCAUCCCUCCAGGAGCCAGAGACUCGCCUCAAAAAUGAGGACUGUGAGAGAGGAACCAGCCAACCCUGAGACAAGCAGCAGGACCAGAAUGCAGGAGAGACGUCUCCACAGCUCUGUAUCCAGAAGGCAGCGAGGAGAAGGGCACUUUCCAAGGAGCAAGGUCCUCAAGAGCACAAAAAUAACCAAGGUCCCAGGGCAGAAAGAAUCACAGCACUGCUGGUGCUGAACACAAGAGGGCAGGAAGCACAAGGCAGGGUGCUUGCCUGAGGCUGGAAGGAGAGGAAAAGUCAGCCCUCAGCUGCCAAAAGGUGAAGAAUGAACUGCUCAAGGAUGCUUCUGUGUGCAGGAAAAUGGAGCUGGCCUCGCUGCAUGGCCAGGACUGCCUCCGGAUUUCCUGGCAGGAGGACAGGACAUUGUUUGCUCUGUGGGGCUGGCAGUGGCCAGAGGCAGGGCUCUCGUGGCUGAAUGCGUUCACCUGAUUCAUCUCCAUGGCUCUUUGCAGAGCUGUAUGGCUGCGGAGCCAGAUCUGCUGUUGAGAGAGCCAGAUGGGCUGCACAGAGCCAGAGUGAGGGGAAGGGAAGAGGCAGAGGGGAGCAAAAACGUGCUGGGGGGACGGGCAGCAGAAUCCGCCUCUGGGCUUGCCCUCUUGAAAUAAGAAGACUGCAUUAAAGCAUUAAACCAGACUGUUGCAGUAGCAG